UACGUAGGGUGCGAGCGUUGUCCGGAAUUAUUGGGCGUAAAGAGCUUGUAGGCGGUUUGUCGCGUCUGCUGUGAAAUCUCAAGGCUCAACCUUGAGCUUGCAGUGGGUACGGGCAGACUAGAGUGUGGUAGGGGAGACUGGAAUUCCUGGUGUAGCGGUGAAAUGCGCAGAUAUCAGGAGGAACACCGAUGGCGAAGGCAGGUCUCUGGGCCACUACUGACGCUGAGAAGCGAAAGCAUGGGGAGCGAACGGG
rnacentral:rRNA from 1 species